UACAGAGGUCCCAAGCGUUGUUCGGAUUUACUGGGCGUAAAGGGUGCGUAGGUGGCGGGGUAAGUCUGGUGUGAAAGCUCCGAGCUCAACUCGGAAAAGCAUUGGAAACUAUCCCGCUUGAGGGUCGGAGGGGAGACUGGAAUUCUCGGUGUAGCAGUGAAAUGCGUAGAUAUCGAGAGGAACACCAGUGGCGAAGGCGAGUCUCUGGACGACUCCUGACACUGAGGCACGAAAGCUAGGGGAGCGAAACAGGAUUAAGAAAGCCCCA
rnacentral:rRNA from 1 species